GACGAAGGGGGCUAGCGUUGUUCGGAAUUACUGGGCGUAAAGCGUGCGCAGGCGGUUUUGUAAGUUUGUCGUGAAAUCCCCGGGCUCAACCUGGGAAUGGCGAUGAAGACUGCAAGGCUAGAAUCUGGCAGAGGGGGGUAGAAUUCCACGUGUAGCAGUGAAAUGCGUAGAGAUGUGGAGGAACACCGAUGGCGAAGGCAGCCCCCUGGGUCAAGAUUGACGCUCAUGCACGAAAGCGUGGGGAGCAAACAGG
rnacentral:rRNA from 1 species